GUACCGUCAAGUCCCUACACGUAGGGAGGUUUCUUCCUGUAUAAAAGCAGUUUACAAUCCAUAGGACCGUCUUCCUGCACGCGGCAUGGCUGGUUCAGGCUUGCGCCCAUUGACCAAUAUUCCUCACUGCUGCCUCCCGUAGGAGUA
rnacentral:rRNA from 1 species